UAUGAGAGUGCAGUACUGGCUGCUUUGAUCUUUGUAGAGAAGAACCUGGAGUAGAUGGACUUGCUACCACCUACGCCCUGCUUCCCCAGCUUGGUUAUGAGAGGACACUACACGGUGCACGGGGAAGCAUCAGAAACAUCACAACCUUGCUUAGUUGAAGUUUGCAUCUUUCCUCUCUCAUUAUUCUCUGUUGCAUCAUGUAAAGUCCAUUUGUCUUAUCAAGGGUUUAAGAAGAAUUUGAGUUUUGGGAAGGAUGACUUGUUAAUCCUCUUCAGGAAAAAGUGGAACACUUCUCUGCUUUAAGCUUUUACUCUGCUUUAAUCAAUAAAGACUUGUCAAAAUGUGAAUUAAUAAUUUUC